GAUGAAGAACGCAGCAAAAUGCGAUACGUAAUGGGAAUUGCAGUGAAUCAUCGAAUCUUUGAACGCACAUUGCACCCAGUGGUAUUCCACUGGGUAUGCGAAGGUGAGCGCCUUAUCAGGUUGGAACAUGCGUAUAUAUUUUCUAUUUAUGGGAAGCAAUAUGCAGUUCUGAAAUUAUUAUAUAUGGUACAUACCAAAUUUUUUAUAGGCCUCAUCGUCGUAGGAAGACCCGCUGAACUUAAGCAUAUCAAUAAGCGGAGGA
rnacentral:misc_RNA from 1 species